AGGCUGAUGGUACUGCACCAUCGGAUGCAGAAGUUUUUGUCAAAACUCGUAAGCGAAAUCCUGGCCGCAAGUACAAGACUGAUACCAAAAAAAUCAAAGAGAAAGUUGACGAUAUCGAAAAACAAAUCAAAAUAUCAGGAGAUGGCACUGAUGAGCUACUACUUUCUGGUGGCAAGAAGCAUGGGAAGACUUGGCUUUACUGGAGGUGUCCAAAUGCAGCCAAAGUCCCUCGCAGUACAAGUUCAGGGAAUAGUUACGUGGAAGACCUGGCAUGUAAGAUCAAGGAAAGUAUGGCCGAAGAUGUCAAGGAAUCAGUGAGCAAGCAAGUCCAAGAAGAAGUGGAUGCUCAAGUAAACAAGAAGGUCCAACAAAACUUGACCUUGGCGCUUAAAAAAAUUGCGGAGGCAAACCCAGGCAUCAAAAUUAAUAUGGAGGAUUUUUGUCCAACAGCUUCGAGUGAUGAUGAAAAUGGUACGCCUAUAACUGGCGGUGCUAGCUGCUAGGUUCUCCAUGUUGUCUCCAUCUCCAGUAGUAAUAGUAUUAACCUAUUUCCUGCUUUUGGGUAUAUUUUGGUCAUCAACUAGUUGGUAAAUUAAGGAUUUGGUAAUUUCUUUUGUUUUAGUUUGGUGAAUUGUGAAUUGUGCUUUUGGUUGGAGUUGGUGAAUUGUGGAUUUGGUUGGAGUUGGUAGCUGCUUGGAUUUGGUUGAACUUGUGUAGCUAUUUUGGUUUGUAGAUGUUGAAUUGGUUGGAUUUAUUGGGAAUUUUAAUAUUUUAAACAGUAUA